UACGUAGGUGGCAAGCGUUAUCCGGAAUUAUUGGGCGUAAAGCGCGCGCAGGCGGUUUCUUAAGUCUGAUGUGAAAGUCCACGGCUCAACCGUGGAGGGUCAUUGGAAACUGGGAAACUUGAGUGCAGAAGAGGAAAGCGGAAUUCCACGUGUAGCGGUGAAAUGCGUAGAUAUGUGGAGGAACACCAGAGGCGAAGGCGACUUUCUGGCCUGUAACUGACACUGAGGCGCGAAAGCGUGGGGAGCAAACAGG
rnacentral:misc_RNA from 1 species